UACGUAGGGCGCAAGCGUUGUUCGGAAUUACUGGGCGUAAAGGGCUCGUAGGUGGCCAACUAAGUCAGACGUGAAAUCCCUCGGCUUAACCGGGGAACUGCGUCUGAUACUGGAUGGCUUGAGUUUGGGAGAGGGAUGCGGAAUUCCAGGUGUAGCGGUGAAAUGCGUAGAUAUCUGGAGGAACACCGGUGGCGAAGGCGGCAUCCUGGACCAACACUGACACUGAGGAGCGAAAGCCAGGGGAGCAAACGGG
rnacentral:rRNA from 1 species